rnacentral:rRNA from 1 species
GGAAUAUUGCACAAUGGGCGCCAGCCUGAUGCAGCGACGCCGCGUGGGGGAUGACGGCCUUCGGGUUGUAAACCUCUUUCAGCAUCGACGAAGCGCAAGUGACGGUAGAUGCAGCAGAAGCACCGGCCAACUCCGUGCCAGCAGCAGCGGUAAUACGUAGGGUGCGAGCGUUGUCCGGAAUUACCGGGCGUAAAGAGCUCGUAGGUGGUUUGUCGCGUUGUUCGUGAAAACCGGGGGCUUAACCCUCGGCGUGCGGGCGAUACGGGCAGACUGGAGUACUGCAGGGAAGACUGGAAUUCCUGGUGUAGCGGUGGAAUGCGCAGAUAUCAGGAGGAACACCGGUGGCGAAGGCGGGUCUCUGGGCAGUAACUGACGCUGAGGAGCGAAAGCGUGGGGAGCGAAC